rnacentral:lncRNA from 1 species
GAGUACAUAAUCAUUAAAAUAACAAUCAAUAACCAAGGAAAUGUUAAAUAAGUUGCGUGGGAGAGGAGGAAUCUAAUGUCACUAAAUAAGGGGCAUGCCGUUUCCAAUUAUGCUAAAGGGAGGCCACGGUUGUCAUAUUGAAAGUACACAAUCAAGAAUGUUUGUUUCUGAAAACAAAUGAAACCCUAUGAUAAAGCUCUAAGAACUAGUUCAACUUUGGAGUAUGAUUUUUAUUGAUGAUGUUUCCACAAUUUAAGAGAAAAUUG